GUUUAAGUUCAAAAUUUGAGCAUCGUAGCUGCAAUGGUUUUUGAGAUAUCGCAAUUCGAAAUAUGGCCCGAAAAGCAAAAAAGUGGGUGUGGCCAGUGCUAAAUUCACCAUUACCCUAUUUUACCUUUUGACCUGUAACUUCAUACCUGUACAUGGUAUAUCCAUCAAAAUUUGCACAAAGAUGUAUUUGUAUGCGGAGAUUUCAAAUAUUGCACCUUCAUCUUUGUAUCUGCAACCAGUAAUGUGUUAUGGCACAGCAAAAAGUCUAAUUAUGUGUUAAAAAGAGAAGGGGG